rnacentral:rRNA from 1 species
UGCAAGUCGAACGAGGUAGCAAUAACUAGUGGCAGACGGGUGAGUAACACGUGGUCAACCUACCGUCGAGUGGGGGAUAACUAGCCGAAAGGUUAGCUAAUACCGCAUAACACCCGGGGCGGCAUCGCCCUGGGUUGAAAGCAGCAAUGCACUCGAUGACGGGACCGCGUCCCAUUAGCUAGUUGGCAGGGUAACGGCCUACCAAGGCACUGAUGGGUAGCUGGUUUGAGAGAGCGACCAGCCACACUGGGACUGAGAACGGCCCAGACUCCUACGGGAGGCAGCAGUGAGGAAUUUUCCGCAAUGGGCGCAAGCCUGACGGAGCGACGCCGCGUGUGGGAAGAAGGCCUUCGGGUCGUAAACCACUGUCGAAGGGGACGAUAAUGACGGUACCCUUGGAGGAAGCCCCGGCUAACUACGUGCCAGCAGCCGCGGUAAGACGUAGGGGGCAAGCGUUAUCCGGAAUUAUUGGGCGUAAAGCGCUCGUAGGCGGGACAGGAAGUCCGUGUUGAAA